CGGUGGGACCCGGCAGGGCGCGGGCGCCCACUUUCCCGCCCUCUGAGCCGUCCCGGGGGGCGGGUGGGAGGAAAGGGCGAAAGAGGGGCGCCCUGGGGCACUCGCGCCGAUCCUCUUGGGGCCGGACGGCCGGGAGUGCUGGCCCCGCGCACACUCUGAGCGCCCCGGGGUGCCUGGGGUGCGCGAGCCGCAGGCGGAGAGUGGGCUCUGGGGCCCUGCCCACUGGGACCGUCCGCCCCGGAGGUCUUCACCCAGCGCCCUGGGCUGACUUACUGGGUGUCUCCCCCCACCAGAAACUCAGCUCUCCAAGAUGGGACAGAGUCCAGCUCCGGCCCUUGACCCUGACCCCCCCACCCAGUGUGGUGCCCGCUCAGAGAGGGCACAGUGUGAUUCGCAGAAACAGCAAAUGAAGAGGGUCCCACCGGUGCUGCACCGUGAGGCACGGGAGGCACGGGGCCAGGGAGCUUCCUGGGGAGCCUCGGGGUAAGGCACCAAGGGGCAGAGGGCCAGAAGGGGGCGGCUGCCUCUUUGGGGACGCCUGGCAAGGACUUUCCGCGGAGGAGUGCCUGAACCACGCACGCCGAUAGUGUCUGCACUCCGGCCUCCCGCUCUGUGGGUGCGUCGUGAGAGGAGAAAGGACACACCGGGUCCGUUUCUCACACCGCACAGAAGAGAUUUCAAACGGAUCGGAGGCUUAAAUGCAAACGUUGAAAUGAAGUUGUGCAGAUUCUGUGGGAAAAUAGGGAUGAAUCCCCCAGUAACCUGGGAGUUGGGAAACAUCUCCAAUUAUGACCUGGAUUUCAAAAGCAAAAGAUAAGAAAAAUAAAAACCAAAACCACCAUUAGCAAAGUAAAAGAAACAAAUGACAAAUUGGGGAAAGUAUUUGCAUUCUAUCACAGGCAAAGGAUCCAUGUCACCACCAUAUAAAGAACUCACAAAACUGGGAAGAAGAAACUGCCACAUCCUAUGGAAAACUGGGCAAAAGCUGCGAACAGUUCACAGGAAAUAGGGUUCGUGACCUUUGUGCUUAUGAAAAAAUGCCCAGCCUUGCCCAGAACAAGGAAAAUGCAAAUCAAAAGUACACCCUGAUGCCGCUGCCCACAUAUCUGAUUGGCAGAGCUCCAAGCCUUUGAGGCCGCCCUCCAGGAGGGAGGACAGGGCGGCAGGUGCGCGGCUCCGCGGCAGGGAGACGCUGGCAGUAUUAGCAAAAGCACAGGUAGCAUCUGACCGGGAAGCCCCACUCCUAGGAACCAGCCCAAAGAUAUGUGGGAAAACCAGGAAAGCAUUUUCAUGCAUAUACACAUUGCUAUUCAUCGCGCACGCUCUGUGUUAGCAAAACCGUCGCGGUAUCCUUCAGUGGGUUCGAUUCCGCUAUGCCACAGCCGCACGAUGAAGCGUCAUGAUCAACGUUAUCGCUGAUACCCAAGGAACAAACGGAACUCAAAGAACUGUAUUGUUAGUAAUAUUGGCAUUCUUAUUUUGAAAUUAUAUAUGUAUAUAUAUAUCAAAUAAAGAAUUAUGUUAUAUUCCUUUGGAA